CUGAAUAUUUCUCUCUCCUUCCCACCAUUCUAUCAUUCUCUCUCUCUACCUCCCUUUCUCUCCUCCUUUGAUGUCAUACCCAAACUCUCCCUGAGGGGUCAGGAUGUGUAAACGUUGAGCUCUCAGAUUAGCUUCUCCCCUCCUGGCUGCGUUGAGGACUCAGGACAGACAGGGCUGCAGACUUUGUCAUAGAACAGCUACAGUAUGUGCAGUAAUGGGCCCCAGUCCGGGGCCUCCAGCGACGGUCUCCAGUCCGGAAGUCCUUGCACCAGAGUCGCCACCGAAGUGGGGGGAGCCUCAAGCGGAGCGGGGCCUGCGUCCCACACCGGAGCCCCACCGAGAGCAGAUGCCCACCCGGACCCUCCCCUAUAGGUUCAGUUCAAACACACCCUGUAUGUAACGGCUGUUGGUGGAAGAAGGUGAGGACCAAGGAGCAGCGUGAACUCUCAAAGACCCCAGCCCCUCUCAAGGACCAUUCCCC
ensembl:lncRNA